GAAUAAGUUACUCAAAAUUAUAAAAAAAAAAAUUAGAUUCUGAAACUAAAAAUGUAGAAACAUAAGAAGAACUACUACUUGAAAUAGAAGAAAGUCUCUGGAGAAGAACUUUCUUUUAUUAAAAUACUUGAAAUGUCGUAUUAAUCGACGGUUUUAAAUAAUAUAGUACAUUCUAUUACUUAAUGAUAAGUCGCGCAACUACUGAUCAAUUUAAGUACAUGAAAAAUCUAUAUUACAACGAUAUUAGGUAUAUGGAUAUAUGGUAUAAACGAGUGAUUGGAAUAGGAUCACUCAAGAACUUUUAAUGAUAUGAUAAUUGCUCCAUGUUAAAUAGCAUUGGACGCUAUUGGAGCUAAUGGAUUAUAAAAUAUAAUCUUAUUUUUAUUACCCUGAUGUGACAUUGUUUGGAUAACUGAUUCUCAAAGUCUUUGAAUUAUAUGUCGAUAUUUGAUUUUUAAAAAAGGCUACUUGACUACUUUAACAUCAAUCGGUAUCUCCCUCUAAAUUAUACGUACUUGGUGAAAACUUCACUUUGGACUCUUACUACAAUUUCUGCGGGUGAUGGAAUAAUAGAUGACCGAAAUCGUGCAGAAGUAAAAUUGCAGUUUAUGCUGAAGAAACUUUGGAAAUGGACUACGGAGUACGUGAAACCCUCUUCAACUUAUGUCUCCUGAUGAAAGAUUCCUGCUUGUAGAAACACAAUUAUUAACUUAAAGAUGUUCGUUAUGAACUAGAAGCGGAGUACUUUCACUGCUUGUAGAUGGACUAUAGAAGCAGUAGAAUUUCAAUUUCCACAACCAUUCCAAGUGACCUGAUGCUAAACUCUGUACAAUUCCAAAGUUGAAGACCCAAGUAAAAUUCUCUAUAAUUAAACCUUGAAGUUUGUUUUAUGAAAAUGGACGAACCUUUACCAUUCAAAUUUAUUGUGUUUGUUUUAAAACAUUGAUUUUAGAACAUAUUGAUUUCUCAAGCUGAACAUUAUGUUUGCAAGAAUACUAAGUAUUGCUUGUCUAAAUUUUUGUGGAUAUAUUUUGUGGAAAUAAAAUUUGAAGUAAAUGUAA